UCAGGCUUACCUGUCAAGUGCUUUUAUCCGCUGCACCAUCCUGCUCCCCAUCUCACCUUUAACAGUCCUCUGUGGUCUCCCUGGCUUCCAUAAUCAUGUGUGCUAACGAAGUCAGACUUUGAUUAGUGACUCGUGAUUUUUCUGAAGGUCUACCUUAGAGAACUCACAUCCAGGAUAAGAGGAAAUUUAAAGAGGAAACAAAUGCCUGGGCAUUUGUGCUAGACAGAUCUGCUUGCUUUAAGUGAAGCAAUUGCAUUGCAGUACUGUGGAGACUGAUUGGGACAGAAAUUCUACAGUAAAUAAUAGCAUCAUGCCAGUCAAACACUAUCCACAGAUGAAGAGACUUCAUGAAGUGAAAAUAAUGGACAUCUUUUUCAUCCAAAAUGAUAGUAAUAUCUCAGUUGACACUUCUGUAGGCAUUUCUACUCAAGUUCUUGUCUCCAAAGGCCAUAUUUGUGUGCUCCUUAAUUUAAUUUCUUAGGGUAGAGAAGGCCUAAUACUCUAAAUCAGCUACCUACCAAAUUCUGACCUGGCUCAAAUAUAGUUUUUCAUAGCCCAUAUGCUGCAUACUAUUGAAGUUCUGAAUGUGAGAAUUCAAGAGAAGCAGCUGUGUUGCAGAUGAUGAUAUAACUGUGGCUCUGGUGUGCACAUAUGUCAUGGGCGGAACUCUCUCUCCCUUUCAUAAAUUAUGACACACAAAUGAACCCUUCUGAAAUCGGUUUCUGAUAAAAGUAUUCAUUUACUCGC